CAGUCUCUCCUUCACUUCAUCCCUCUCCCCCCUUCUCCUUAAAUCCUCUAGGUUAUAUCAGCUGUGUCGGUGAACCCCUCCCGCAUCUGAACUGGCUGACAGAGGGCACAGCAUGAUCAGAGGUAUGUUUUGAUGUGAGAGAGGGUGCCAAACCCCAGUCCCGUCAUCACCAUCUCACCCGCUCUUAAGAUAACCUUCGGGCCAACUGGGGGCCCAAGGCUGUUAGUUGACACCGCUAGAGACACUAUUAUGUAAUUGUGAUGAACUGAGAGAAUAUAAAGUUAAGCAGCACUGUAAUUCAUUAAUCAUAUGCUGUCUUCCCUGCUCCUCUGUUCUUACCUCUUUCCAUAUCUGUCUUUUACACUCUUUCUCAUACCUCUCUACCCACCUCCUCUUUCUUCCUCUGUUUUUAUAAUGCACACCAGAUGUUUUUUAUAAUGCACACCAGAUGUUUUUUAUAAUGCACACCAGAUGUUUUUUAUAAUGCACACCAGAUGUUUUUUAUAAUGCACACCAGAUGUGCAUUGAAGUACAGAUUUGAACUUAUAUUUAGAAUAUAAUAUUUAUAAUGCAAGUAUUAUGUAUUUAUAACACUUGGAUAAUUAACUUAUUUCAAUAAAGCAUUUCACAUUCUC